rnacentral:snoRNA from 1 species
AUGCAUCUGCUUGACAGACCGGGAGCAAAUGACUGUUGCUCUUGUGGUUUUUUAUGUGAUGCAAAAAUAAUGCAGUUCCUUACGCUUUCUGCCUGCUUUAUCCAGUAGCAGUCCAUAUUGAAUAAAGGAACACAUCU